rnacentral:misc_RNA from 1 species
ACAAUGCACUUCGUUUAGCCCAUUAUGUGCUGUGAAAUAAUGGAAGGGAUACCACAUAAAAAAAAAAUUACCCCUCCUGAACUGGAGAAAGUAAAAACUCAUGAAGAGAAAAAGAAAAAAGAAGUAGUAACAGAGAAAAUUGACAUCUAUUACUUCGACCAUGGGAACUCUGCAUAUUAUCGAACAACGGAUUCACCGCCCGUAUUACUAACCGAGAAAUGUGCCGAAAAAACCGAUCAAGCAGCGAUUCGUUUUUGGGCCGAAAUAUUUGGGACUAUUCAUAUCGGCACUGCUUUCAUCACAGCAUUUAUUUUACAAUUAAUUCGAUUUAUACUUUACAGUAUAAUCAGACCAUUGACAGUGGGCAUUUUGCAAUUGUUUGCGGACUAUUUUAUAAAACCCCUAUUGUCAAUUGUGUUCAAUGCCCUCAUACAGCCUAUAUUGAUAUUGUUAUACAAUAUCGCAACAUCUUUCAAGGAUCUUUGUGAACCUAUCGCAGAAGCGAUAGGAUUGUUCCUACGAGAAAUCGCUCACGUGUGUGCGGCAAUUCGGAUCGUCGAAGUGAAACAGGGUACCGCUCCCUCGGUUGCUUGCACUUGAUGAUUGAAUGGAAGAAGAGAGCAAUUCUGAAUGACGAAUAUGAAAUAUAGUUUGUUUUAAGGGGACAAGGUACAAAAACUCAUAAUAUUUUGCGAUUCGUAAAAAAAUAGCACCAUGUUCAAUAGAAGGUGAAAGAAAGAACAAGAAUUUAUUACAUCUACGUGAUUGAUUUUGUCUUGAUUUUGAAUUAUGAAAAAAACUGAAGUAAAAACUGAAUUAUGAUUGAAAUAGAGUGAAUCAGUUUUAACCCUUUAAGAUCUAAGUAUGUUAACAGUAAGUACAGGCCCUUUACUAGAUAUCCAGUUAUAUUUAGAAUAAUCCACGAGGCCAUUGUUUUUAUAACAUAUUUAUUUCACUGAAUAUAUACGACUUCAAAAUACUAGGUCUCAAAGGGUUAAGAAGUAACUAAACUCUUCUAUACGAUAUACUUAUAAAAAGAACUUAAUGUAAAGUGUGCGUAUGAAAAGUAUCUUUCUUUUACUAAAUCACAAACUUUUAUCCGUUGUUCUUCUGUAGAUGAUGAUAAAUUAUCUCGAUCAUCAAUUUGAAAAGGCAUUGUCCCAAGGAUAGAAUGAUGUGAACUGAAGAAAAUUUGAAAAUAGCUCGGUAAUAGCUGUUCAAGUUUUAACGAAUAUAACACAUGCCUUAACACCAGGUAUAUAUUUGGUAUUAUUUAAACUUUACAAUAUUAUUAUCAGUUUCAUUCAUUUUGUUAUUUUUUGUUUUUUUUUUCUUUUUUCUUUUUGUUUUUACAGAACAAAUUAUCCUCUUAUAGCAACUAACUUCGUCAAUAAUGAUCAAUAAUCAUCCUUCGUCUCUUUCGUAUAUCUUACUGUUUAAUAAAUUAUGUACAAUCUCACAAACAACAAACGGAGGAACCUAAUUACAUCAUGUAGUUGUUCACACUUCGCUAUGUACAG